AUACCCGGGGACCAUAUAUUAAAUAGAUUUUUGGAACAGGGAGAUGGAAUAGGGGCUUGCUCCGUCCACUCCACGCAUCGACCUGGUAUUGCAGUAUCUCCAGGAACGGUGCACUCCCU
rnacentral:snRNA from 1 species